GAAAGACUAGACUAGCUGUGUCUUCUGGCCUCCAUCUUUUUCUCAUGCUGGAUGCUUCCUGCCUCUAAACAUUGGACUCCACGUUCUUCAGCUUUUGGACUCUUGGACCUACACCAGGGGUUUGCCAGGGGUUCUCGGGCCUUCAGUCACAGACUGAAGGCUGCACUGUCAGUUUCCCUACUUUUGAGGUUUUGGGAUCCGGGCUGGCUUCCUUGCUCCUCAGCUUGCAGAUGGCCUGUUGUGAGAAUUCACCUUGUGAUCGUGUUGAGACAUUAACUCUAUGCCCAGAAGAACUUCAAAAAAUGUUGUAUUAGGGCGCACCAAGAGGAUGCAAAAAGAUUCAGAACUGCGGAGCUCUACAGAGCAGACGGUCAGUCUCCUCCCAAAACAAAUGGCACAACAGAAAUGGCGGAGGCAGGGCAAAAAUACUACUGACAAGAUUGAAAGAAGAUUGAAAGACACAUAAACCAAAGGCAAUGUGUGGCCCUUGCUGGAUCUUUAUUUGUGCAAACUCAAUGGUAAAAUUACAUUCCUGAGACCUUUUGGGGAAAUCCGAACAUUAAUUGAGGUAUAAGGUAUAUCUAUAAAGGUAUUCAUAAUUUUCUUUGGUGUGAUAAUGGUAAAGUGCUUAUUUUUCUUUUAAACUUUAUCAGUUGGAGAUACAUGGCUGGUAAAUUUACAGUGAAAUUACAUAAUGUCUGAAGUUUACUUUAAAAUACCUCAGAGGGGGAAAAAAGCAUGCAAAUGAGUGUGUGUAUAAGAGCUGGGAUACGUAAAACAGAACUGGCAAAUAUCAACAACCUGAGCUGAGGCAUGGGUACAGGAGAAGGCUCAUUCUGUAUUUUUGUGCAUGUUUAAACAUAUCCACAAUAAAAAUUUCCUAAAAAAAAAGUUGUAGUUGCUUAUUUCAAACUAGAAGGAAAAGUUACUAACACUGAUUUCACUCAAUCUAAACAGAGACUACUGCCAAGAGAAUGAUACUUUUCUAUUUAGUCUAGUGGUAGUGUAUGGAUAUAAAGUGAAUGUGGUUUCCAGAGAUAUACGGGAUUUGUUUUAAAAAUACUGGAACAUUUUUAUUUAAAGAUCAAAUCAGAGUUUGCCAUGUCAACUUAUAGUUUUAGCGUCAGCCAUCUAUAAAUUGAACAACUAAACUGUGUCAAAAGAACUUAAAGGCAAAUUGAAAACAUAUUCAUAUAACAAUAUCGUCCAAUUACAAUGAGUUGAGAUCUGGAAAAUGCAGAUAAUCCAUUGGGUUAUUUCCAAUCUUUAUUAAAAAAUAUUUAAUCUUUUUGAAUAAAAUACAUAAAAUAUACUGAACUUUAUUCAGUAAAUAUGAUACUGCAUUAUAAUUUAUGAAGGUGAAUCAUCUAGGAAAAGUUUUACAUCAUAAUGUACCAUUAAGUCUAUAGGAAUUUAAAAUCUAUAGGAAUUUAAAAUGUGUAAGUUUGUAUGAUUUGACAUAAUUUUAUGUAUGAAAUCUAAAUUGACGUGGCUUUCAUUUCUUAAAAGUUUAAAUGAUUUUACUUAUAAUUUUUAUAUAUUCAAAUCUAAACUGAAAUGCAACUUAUCUUUUAAAAAUUCCCAGGAAUUACACAGUAUCACGUAAUGAUGCUUAAAAUAAUUUUGACACUUCUUACUAAAGAAAGGUAUUUUAUAAUUUAUACCAGUCUGAGCUCUAAAUGAUACAGUAAGCCAAUUAAGUCAUUUCUUCACAUUUAGCUGCCUAGAAUUCCUGGGUUUUGCAAGAACUGAGAAGUGAAUUUUUAUCUCUAGAAUCAUGGCUUCUGAAUUAAAGUCUUGUUAGUAUAUGUAGUUAAGGGAAAUCUUGAAAUAUUAGAACUCCUAAAAUUGGACUCUCUAUAAUGCACACAUGAAAGCUUUCUCUUCUAGAACGGGACCAUCCACAAACACAAUUCUACCUGACUAAUAAUCAUGACAUUUCUAGACUCUCCCUCACUAGUAAUUAAACUUGGCAUAGUGUCAUUUUGUCUUUUGGUAAUAUAAACAGUAACAAAUUGCCCCCAGAUGUCAUUUUUUGCAUCUUAUCAUUGUGAGCAUAAAGAGGUAUCAUUUCAAUAAAUGAAGAAAAUGAGGAAGCAAAAUGGGAGGAAUUAAAAACUUGGUCCUCAGGAAAAUGGAAUACAUGCUCCCUUUUUGGAAACUGUCAGGAUUACCAGAAUUUAUAUAUCUCUUCUAUAGAGGUACUUUCCCUAACUUAGUAAAUAGUUGCUGAAUUUCAUAGAAAUCUAUUCACAGCAUAUUGAAUAUAGUCCUCUACAUUUUGAAAUCAGAUAACUUUCCUGGCAUGGUUUCUGUUUUGGUACACAUAUUAUUUAUCUAGAAGAAUAUAAUGCCUUUCAGUUGAAAUAUGUAUUUAGGUGCUUUUAAAGGAAGUCAAUUUUUAACCUUAAAACUGCUAAAAUUUACACUUUUUACUUGCUGACAUUAUUAAAUGCAUUUUACCUGACGGCAAAUCUUUCGAUAAGACAAUAGUUAUCUGAAGUUCACUGCCUUAACAACCAUUGGUUUUUUAAGGCAUUUAACUCUCAAUGUCCAAAACUACCUUACAAAACUCCCAAAACCAUAAAGAAAAUAAUUUAUGUAGAAAUCUUUUGCGUUCAAAAAGGUUACAUGUGAAGCUUAGAGAAAAUUAUUUACAAUUCUGUUUGUUCAAAUAUCUGCAAACAUAUGUUUGUGUUGAAUCUUUAAUUUUACUCGGGAGAAGUGAACAUUUAUAAUAACUUUUAAAACACAUACAUGUAAUGGCUAUCUAAUAUCAAUUUUUAUUUUAAAAAUAUUGGAAGUGAGUACUACACAUAAUAGAAGAAUGUGCUUUUUAACUCUGAUUUUACAAGUUAAAAAUAUGACAAUGCCUGUAUUAUUUUUCCUUUUGGGAUUAAAGCCACCUGCUAUAUAGACAAAUUUUAUUUAUGUUGUCCUCCUAUAAUAAAAGUGAAAUUACUGAAUAGAAUAUUAGUGUGAACACUCAUACUACUUCUACUGUCAUUUUCAUGAAGAUCAACCUCCCCCACUGAUAUUGGAGUUAUACAAAUACUAAAACAAGAAUUCAAUCCCAUGUUUCUGGGUUCUGUAGUUGAGCCAAAGGACCAGGUGUGACUGAACCAUGUCUAUUCAUAACAUAAGGUGGACUACUUAUUAGCAUUUUAGAGAAUGGUUCAAAUUCUACCAUCUAAAAUAUAUAACAAGUGAAUUGUCAAAAAAAUUACCAUGACAUUACUUGGGUUGGGUUAUUCGACUCAUCAAUUUUAAUUUGGAAAUUAAGAAGAAAAAUUUUUUCAAAGAGGGCCCUCUGAAGACAUUUCUUUCUUAGAAAGGUCAUUUUAUGCAUUUAGAGGGGCUAAUUAUUUUGCUCUGAGCUACUAAAAUGUAUAUCUAUAUGAUACUAUUUUUCUAGGACAGGGAGGUUUGGUUUAUUUGACGGGCCAUAAAAAACACAUGCACAUAAAAUUCAGCUGUUCAUCUAUUGUCUAUCUUUUGCUCUUUCAAGAGUUACAUAUAGACAAAAAGUGUGUUUUUGUUGUUGUUUAAAACAAAUACAUCCAUGUAGCACUGCCUUAAACAUGAAAAUUGUGAAAAAAUCACCUUACACUCCCCCAUAAAAAAGCAAAAGAAAUUAUGUGUUACGCUCAAAGAUCACGAGUUACAUGCUGAAUUGGCUUCCAAAUAGCAUAUAUGCUAAAUAAUAUGUUUUCUGUUAAAACUUGUAAAAUUCAAGAAAAACUGUUUCCUUAAUGGAGGAUUUAAGAGCAAAACACUGAAAUCCCAACAGAUUUGCUACUUUCAAUAUGUGCUGAAGAAAUAUUCAUUAAAUGGAGCAGUGGGUCAGCAAUAAAAUUUCCAAAUGCUUAUUACAUAAAUUUUAACAUUAUAACUUACAGAAUAUAACCACCAAAUAGAGAGCACAACUAAAAACAAAAUGUUAAAUGCAUUUUAUUUUACAAUGGUAAAGGAAAUAAAUCCCAGAUUAGGUUAAAAUGUUGGGUUUGAUGCCUUAUCAAAGUGGUCUUCAUGAAAAUAUUUACCAAAUUAUAGUUCUACAUAUCUCCCAAUCCUGUUUUAAUGUUAAUUUACAAUGUAAGUUAUAUUUCUGAAAAUCUUCAAUGAGUGAGACAUAUGCGCUCUUAAAUCAAUGUAAUUUUGAAAAGUAUUGGAAACUUUAAAACUUCAACAAUGUUCUCAAUUAUAUGCUUUAACUUCCCAUAUUUUUAAAGUUGAACGACUACUUCCAGGUAAUAGAUGCACUGAAUAAAAAGGAUUUUUAAUUGUAUCUGAGGCAUUUUUCAUCUUAUUUUUAUCAAUGCAUAACUAAACUGUGACUUUAAAGACAAAUGUUAAACUCUCUAAUUUGAAUGUAUUUUAAUAGAUCUUUGCUGAUGUAAGAAGAUGGAAUUUGGGCACAGAAGGCUUUCCGAGUUUUGAGGGGAAGUUGACAUUUCUAGCUCUGAUAUUUUUGUCUUGAAUUUAGAUGGCUUUUCUCUAAAUUAAAUCAACUAGUUAAUCCUUCUCUUUCAAUUCUGUUCAACUAAAUUGGGCAUGAGUCACUAUUAGAAGAAUAUAUAAAACUUUAAAAGUUAUAAAUACCCUACUUGUAGAAGUUUGAUAAUAAUGUGUGGAUAUUUUUGAAAUACAAGAAUAUUCUGGUUUAAAAAAUAUGUAUCUGUAGCUGACAAAAUUUGUCUCACAGAUAUGAAUGUUAGAAUUAUAUUAAAAAUUGCUUUCUUUUUUGGUUUUGGUUAGGUUCCUGAAAAAAAAAAACUUCCUAAACCAAGACUCAGUAUUGCGUUUGUACAAAAUAAAAUGGCUACAUAUUAAACAGGCAAAGAUAAUACUGUUUCUCUUUGGUAAUGGGAUGUCAUAUGCUUUAGAGUAGGGUUUUUAAAAAAAUAACUUCUAUUAACUCCUUUUGGCAAAGAGGCUAGCAUUCAUUAAUUUACAGAAAAACUUUUCCAUUUACUACCCUAAUCAGCAGAAUGAAAUAAUACUCCUUCUCAAGGGAACUAGCCUAAUCCUGGAGAGAUAUUCAUACACUAUUGAAGACUGAUAUUUUUCUGGUUGGUUGGGAGCAAAGUACUAGCUUGGUAACGGUAUCUAUAGAAAGCAAGCCAUGAGAAAUAAAGCUACAGCUUUUUCUUCAGUGAUACCAUCCCCAUUCAAGAGGUUUAAAUUCUUUCUCUUGAGAAAAUCAUAGAUAGCAGUUCUGAGAGCUUUGCUGUUACAAGGGAAAUACAUGCUUAAAAUGUUAGGAGAACAUACCUAGCUUUCAGGCCAUUCUUCCAUCAGGACUUAAAGCUUUAGGAGAAUACCAUAAAUAAUUUGCUUUUUAGGAAAGAAGGAGUUUAAAUUCUCAAUGGGAUCAAAGAAAGCUAUGGGAGCACAUGGGGUAUGAGAUAUUUCCAAAUAGCUUCAGAAUUCUGCUAUUCAGUGUCAAAUACCACUCUGGAAAAUAUUGAACCUACUGAAUCUAUACCCAUG
rnacentral:lncRNA from 1 species